rnacentral:misc_RNA from 1 species
GGCGCCUUCUCUAUCUGCAACCUUUGCCUAAAAUACCAAACCACGAAGCUCUACUGCUUCAAUUCUCAAAUUUGCACGUUUCAAUUCCUUCUUCUUUCAUUUCAAUGGCGCUAACUCAAAAUCCCAAACCCACCACAAUCCUCAUAUCCUCCGUCUCUAAUCACUUUUACCCCGCCACUUCACUUACACUUCCAAAUCCACUCAGAACCAAGACCAACUCGCAGUUCUUUAGCGCCAUUCCUUCAAGCAUUCACAAUCUUCAGCAGCCAUUACCAAUCUUCUCUAGAAGAUUGUUUCUCCCUGCAGUGUCUGGCAUCUGGGAUGCCGUAACAGGUGGCAACAAUGCCCGUGAAGCCGUUGUGGCGAUCAGACGCGGAAUGUUACUCUUUAGACAGGGUGAUGUUUUGGGGUCUUUGGCGGAAUUCGAUAAGGCAAUAGAGUUGGAUCCUCGUCAAAAGGCUUAUCUUUGGCAAAGGGGGCUCUCUCUUUACUAUCUAGAUAGAUUUGAAGAAGGGGCAGAGCAGUUUCGAUUAGAUGUUGCCCAAAAUCCAAACGACACAGAGGAGUCAAUAUGGUGCUUUCUUUGUGAAGCUCAGCUGUAUGGAGUUGAUGAUGCAAGGAAGCAAUUUCUUGAGGUUGGCAGAGAUCCACGACCUGUCAUGCGGGAGGCUUAUAACAUGUUUAAAGAUGGUGGUGAUCCAGAAAAGCUUAUCACGGCAUUUUCAAAUGGCCCAGAUAAUGAAUAUUUCUAUGCUUCUUUAUAUGCUGGGCUAUAUCAUGAAUCCCAGAAUAAACCAGAUGCGGCCAAAUUUCAUAUAGUUGCUGCAUGUAUGUCUCCUUAUGGACAAAGGUCUGAUGAUUAUAUGGCGGCUCUUUGCAAAGUUCACUGUCUAUGUCGAAACUGGAGUAUCAACUGAUAUUUCGCUCCAACUUGGAAACUACAGUUCUUGAUAGUUCUUCUUAUUCUGAUUUUGAUGUUCUUCGGAAUGUUAAGAAAUCAUUUUAAGGCAUUACUGAGGACCUUCAGACUGAGAAAGUGAUAGCGGUGGCACAUGAAGUUGCAGGGCUCUAUAAGCUAGAUAAAUCUAGUUUUUUGGCUUCUAGUAUAAACGAUUGUUUGUUGAGUCUGCAAAACAAUUUCUUGAUUUCUUCACCUGUAAAUACCAUGAUCUCUAAUUCAAGAAUCAAUAAAGAGAAUUACAUUUGUUCUAGUUCUACUGUUGUUUCCAAAGUUGAUAUCUCUACUUUACAUGCUAGAUUAGGGCAUGUGUCAGUCAAGAAAAUGAAUCACAUUUUGGGAAUUGAAGGGUGUAUUUCAGGAGACAAAUCUUUUGAUUGUUUUGUGUGUCCUUUGGCAAAACAAAGUAGAUUGCCCUUUCCUUUUAGAGAGACACAAGCACAACAUGAGUUUGAGUUAGUUCAUAUAAAUAUUUGGGGACCUUAUAAAGUUACUUCAGUCACUGAGGCCAAAUAUUUUCUUACCAUAGUUGAUGAUAAGACUAGGGCUACUUGGACUUACAUGUUACAUAACAAGUCUCAAAAUGUUGCUACUAUAUCUAAAUUUCUUCAGUUGGUCAACACUCAAUUUGAUGCUAUGGUCAAGAUUAUUAGGACUGAUAAUGGUGCUGAGUUUGUAAAUAAUAAUUUUGCUCAACUGGUGUCUGAUAGAGGUAUAAUUCAUCAAAGAACAUGUCCCUAUACCCCACAGCAGAAUGGGAUUUUUGAAAGAAAACAUAGGCAUCUUCUAGAUACUGCCAAAGCUUUAAGGAUACAAGCACAAUUACCUAAAGAGUUUUGGUCAGAAUGUGUCUUAACAGCCACAUAUACCAUCAAUAGGUUGCCUAUGCAAAAAUUUAAUUGGCUCAUACCAUAUGAGCUACUUUACCAUACACCACCAGAUUAUAGUCAUAUGAGAGUGUUUGGUUGUUUGUGUUAUGCUGUCAAUCUCAAUCCUUACAAGGAUAAGUUUGAUGAUAGGGCAAUUCAAUCUGUUUUCAUUGGUUAUUCAGGAGUGAAUAAAGGGUAUAAGUUGUAUAGUUUGAAGGAUAAGAAAAUAUAUGUAAGUAGCAGUGUUAUCAAAGGCGAGCCAGGCGCCCAGCCGAUGCGAGGCCCUCCUCUGUCGCAUCGACUGGAACGCCUAGCUGGAUUUUGGGGAGGCGACGCCUUAGGCCGAAGAGGCGAGAGGCUACGCAGGCGAGAGGCGACGCCUCU